GACGAACGCUGGCGGCGUGCUUAACACAUGCCAGUCGAACGGAAAGGCCCUGCUUUUGUGGGGUGCUCGAGUGGCGAACGGGUGAGUAACACGUGAGUAACCUGCCCUUGACUUUGGGAUAACUUCAGGAAACUGGGGCUAAUACCGGAUAGGAGCUCCUGCUGCAUGGUGGGGGUUGGAAAGUUUCGGCGGUUGGGGAUGGACUCGCGGCUUAUCAGCUUGUUGGUGGGGUAGUGGCUUACCAAGGCUUUGACGGGUAGCCGGCCUGAGAGGGUGACCGGCCACAUUGGGACUGAGAUACGGCCCAGACUCCUACGGGAGGCAGCAGUGGGGAAUAUUGCACAAUGGGCGGAAGCCUGAUGCAGCAACGCCGCGUGCGGGAUGACGGCCUUCGGGUUGUAAACCGCUUUCGCUCAUGACGAAGCUUUGUGUGACGGUAGUGGGUAAAGAAGCACCGGCUAACUACGUG
rnacentral:rRNA from 1 species